rnacentral:rRNA from 1 species
AGACGUUUGAUCCUGGACUCAGACGAACGCUGCGGCAUGCCUAAUACAUGCAAGUCGAACGAGAUCUUCGGAUCGUAGUGGCGCACGGGUGCGUAACGCGUGGGAAUCCUGCCCUUGGGUUCGGAAUAACUUACUGGAAACGGAAGCUAAUACCCGGAUGAUGACGUAAGUCCAAAGAUUUAUCGCCCAAGGAUGAGCCCGCGUAGGAUUAGCUAGUUGGUGAGGUAAAGGCUCACCAAGGCGACGAUCCUUAGCUGGUCUGAGAGGAUGAUCAGCCACACUGGGACUGAGACACGGCCCAGACUCCUACGGGAGGCAGCAGUAGGGAAUAUUGGACAAUGGGCGAAAGCCUGAUCCAGCAAUGCCGCGUGAGUGAUGAAGCCUUAGGGUUGUAAAGCUCUUUUACCCGGGAUGAUAAUGACAGUACCGGGAGAAUAAGCUCCGGCUAACUCCGUG